rnacentral:rRNA from 1 species
GAGAGAGUUCAAGAGUACGUGAAACCGUUCAGGGGUAAACGGGAGAAAUCCUGAAUUCGAAGGGGAUUGGAUUCAAUUCCGCCCGGCUGCUCAGGCCUCCUGGCCCCGCCAGAUGGCGCCGGUCGCCCACGGCGAUUCAUUUCGCUUGUGGUGUCGUUCCCGGCGAUCACUCGGCGAGGUGGUGUUGCUCUGGCACCGGAGGAGUGCACUUCCUCCCUUGUAGAAACGUCGCGACCCGUUGGGUGCCGGUCUAAGGCCCGGGAUGGCAGACCACGUGUCCUGUGCGAUCACUCACAGGCGCGCGGACUCCUGGUGACCCGGCCGGCUGCUCGACGGUAUGACCAGAGGAGUCGAUCCGCUGAAUGGGAAACACUAUGGUUGUGUAGCGUCCGGCCCGGCGCCGACACGUGCUGGGAAUGUGGUGCAAACCGGGGGUGCCCGUGCAGAAGCACGGCCCCGGCCCAGCUGCGUCGUUGGAUCCGUCGGUGUCCUCGGACUGGAUCAGCACUCCCGUCUGCGACGCCCACCUUCGGAUGGUCUCC